rnacentral:lncRNA from 1 species
UCUUAUUCCCAUAACCAACCAGAGUAAUUACUAUUAAUAUGACACUAUCAAUUGAAUAUGUCAUUCUAUGUCAACUCAUUCUGUCGGUGACUGUCACUGAGUUGGUGUGAUUUCCAGUCUGCCAUAUUUGACAACCCUUUAAUCUUUUUCCCCUGUAGGCAUACCUACCAGUCUGACAACUCCCUGGUGGUUAGCCAUCUCAGGACCGAGGAUGCUGGCAUCUACAUGUGCAUAAUUUCAAAUGGGAGGGUGGAACGCAGACAGAUCGAGUUGCUGGUCAAAGAAAUCCCUCAAUCUACCCUCACCCAGGGAAGAAGGCAUCAACUUACUCGUGGUCAGAAUCAGCAGCCCAGAGUCUUUGGCGCAGGAACUAAUGACAGGCGGUCACAUGUUUCUUCUCUGCAUCCUCAAAUAACAUACAGGUAUAUCUUUCAACUUCCCAAAGCAGCUCAUGUUCCACAUAUUGUGCUGUGUGCUCUUUAGAUGCACUUGGAAGCUGAUCAAACAAGAGCAGGCUAUUUAAUCAUAGUGCUAUUGUAUCUAAUCUUAAUGCUUAGAAAUCAGCUCGGCAUUUUCUUUACAGCUACAACACAGAAUCUGGAGUAACUCUAACCUAGUUCUUCUUAGGAUUUUUCUUCUCUUUCUUUCUUACUGGUUGGACCUGAUGAUCAGGCAUCUGAAAGAACCCGAAGGGUUUAAUUUAAGCAACCAUUGAUAUCAAAGUGUUUUAAUGAAAUCAGUUUAUGCCUUAGGCAGUUUUCUGUCUUUUGCUUGGCUCCUGGAGGAUCCUACUGUUAGAAGGAAACAAACAUUAAGAAAUUAAUUAUUGUCUUUAAUAAAUAUUCAUUGUAGAAAUAAAAAUAUAUCUGCAGGAAACAAGAUUCUAGCAAAGCAAGGCCUCUUAUACAGACAAGUAAUUAUUUAAAUAGCUCACUUUCACUGGUCUCUGGACAGUUUUGUAAUUAAAAUUUAGUGGCCUAUUUGCAGCCCAGGUUCACAAGCAUCACCUGGUCAAAAUUGCUUCUUUUGUGUAGGUGGGCAUCCGCUCACUAAGAACCGUGAGUCACAUUCUAGAAUGUCGCUACACUAAAAAGAACCAAGAAAUGCUGAAGUGAGAGAGAAAUGGAGUUUAUCUUUAGCAACUCGUCUUUUUUUUUUUAACGGCUCAGAAUGGCACUCGGGUUAAGAACGUCACUUCAGUGACAAGGGUAACUAUCAUGCCAUCUUC